UUUUUUAACUCGCUGUUGUGGCCUCAUUUUUCGAAGUACAGACAUGAAAAACACAUCAUUGUGUUCAUGAAGGACGGGGGAUUCGUACGAUGUUCUUAUUUUCAUUCUGGGACUUAAGGAAAUCACGCUAUGUGAAGAAGUUUAGAGCCUCUAAAUCCUCAGCAGUUCAGCUGCUUCUCAUUCAAACAGUAGGUCAGUGAUUUGCCUUUGAUCUCACAGCUGUUUAGGAUGCAGUCAUUAACGAGACACACACACACACACACACACACACACACACACACACACACAUUCUUGUACUUGUUGCAUUGUCAGGUCUACCUUGCAGUUCAGCUGCUUGUACACACAGUUAAUAUGUGUCUGCUUCGCCACCUAUCUCCACCCACAAACUUUGAGCUACAGAAACCAUUCUGGGCUUCUAAAAUUCAGCUCAUUGAAGAUAUUAUGGGGUGUUUUGAGGAUUGUGAUAAUAAAUUGUAUUAAUGUGUUUAGCAGAGUCUUGUGUUCUCACAAGCUCCUUAUCAGGAAUAGAUACAGAGGAUGAGUGUCAGGGCCUACUUGGAGUCCUGUUUCCUUAGCUUCAAGCCUUCUUUCUCCUGCUAUAGUUAUGCAUCCAAGGUCCCCAUGGCAACCAAUUAGUGCACCUGGAGACACACAGCUGACUGGAAAGCUGCUUCUAAUGGCCAUAUGAGACACAUGAAGCCAGGCUCAGCACACAUAGCACUGGGGAUGACACUUAAAACCCUUUACUAGAGCGCUUGAAAAAACUUCAGCCCCUAUCUCCUCACAUGACCUUUGACCUACAGAAACCAUUCAGGGCUUUAAAAUUUGAGCUCAUUGAGGACAUUAGGGGGUGUAUUUAGGAUUUAUAUACAUUUAGAUUUUUCACAUUUUAAAGUCACUCAGUGAUGAUUUAUCAUUUAAUUUUUCAAACUAAUUUGAACUCAUUCAAACUGAUUCAAACCUUUCUAAUACUUAAAAAAUUAAACUUAUGCCACUUCCCACCUUCCUGCCUUUUAAGGCUAUUUCCUUCUUCAUUCAAACUUUUUGCAAUUUUAGACAUUUUUCUAGCCUCUUUCAGCAUGAAUAAAAUUUCCUUUUAUAGAGCAUAUUCAUACUAUUUGUCCUUCAACCAAUUAAUCAAUUAUCCAACUUACAUUUCUUUCACACCCCUUCAACAGCUUUAACAUUUAUACAUUUCUCCAUGUUUUAUUAGCAGUUUAGCAUUGCUUUUUCAGCUUUCAGCACUCAGCAUUUCCACGCAUUUUCUGCAAGGAAAUGCAAUUUUUCUAGUUAAGUGGAAAUGCUGAUAGGCAUUUCCACUUAUUGUUAUUCUCCCGUUUCUUUAUUAUUAUUAUUAUUAUUAUUAUUAUUAUUCUUCCGCCGUUUUUCGUCCGCUUUCAACUCCUUCCCAGUUUGUGCGAUUUCAACCGUUCAAACUUUAAACUAUUCCACUCCUUCAGGACACGUUUGCUAUUACUUUUCACUUUUCUAACAUUUAUACUUUUUGUUUUUUUUAACUUUUUGUGCAAAAAUUUUAACAUUGAAGUCAAUGGGGAAAUCUUCCAAUUCUUCCUUUUAUUCUUCCACUUUCUAGACCUUAUAACUUCAGCAUACUUUCACCUAGAGACCUCAUUUUUGCUUUAAAAUGUUCAUUCACUUGUCGACUAUUACAGUUGUACUCAGUUUUUUUGAUAUCUCUUACAGUUUUUCCACAAUUUAGCUUUAAGCAACUUGUGGUUUUCAGCAAAUUUCAAGCUUUAUAAUGGGUGUGUAUUGGAGAGUUUAGAGUGAUGAUGUCAUCAGCUAGAGUGCAGACCUCGUCUCUGAUCGACAGAACCUCGCUCGAAUAUAUCGCUCCCACGCCCACAAAUCUCACUCCACUGACACAAAUAAUACAUCAAAAUGGAGGUAUAUGUGUCCUGCUUCUCACAAAAGAGGUUUCAAAUCAUUAAAUCGUACCCCUUGGCCAGCAGGUGACCAACUGUCCAAAGAAGGCGGAAAUCUCUCCCAUUGACCGUAAUGUUAAUUUUCUCCAAGAAAAUCCGGAUCAUCGCUCAGGCUCAGACUUUUUUAACUCGCUGUUGUGGCCUCUUUUUUCGAAGUACAGACAUGAAAAAGACAUCAUUGUGUUCAUGAAGGGCGGAGGAUUCGUACGAUGUUCUUAUUUUCAUUCUGUGACUUAAGGAAAUCACGCUAUGUGAAGAAGUUUAGAGCCUCUAAAUCCUCUGCAGUUCAGCUGCUUCUCAUUCAAACAGUAGGUCAGUGAUUUGCCUUUGAUCUCACAGCUGUUUAGGAUGCAGUCAUUAACGAGACACACACACACACACACACACACACACACAUUCUUGUACUUGUUGCUUUAUGAGGUCUACCUUGCAGUUCAGCUGCUUGUACACACAGUUAAUAUGUGUCUGCUUCGCCACCUAUCUCCACCCACAAACUUUGAGCUACAGAAACCAUUCUGGGCUUCUAAAAUUCAGCUCAUUGAAGAUAUUAUGGGGUGUUUUGAGGAUUGUGAUAAUAAAUUGUAUUAAUGUGUUUAGCAGAGUCUUGUGUUCUCACAAGCUCCUUAUCAGGAAUAGAUACAGAGGAUGAGCGUCAGGGCCUACUUGGAGUCCUGUUUCCUUAGCUUCAAGCCUUCUUUCUCCUGCUAUAGUUAUGCAUCCAAGGUCCCCAUGGCAACCAAUUAGUGCACCUGGAGACACACAGCUGACUGGAAAGCUGCUUCUAAUGGCCAUAUGAGACACAUGAAGCCAGGCUCAGCACACAUAGCACUGGGGAUGACACUUAAAACCCUUUACUACAGUGCUUGAAAAAACUUCAGCCCCUAUCUCCUCACAUGACCUUUGACCUACAGAAACCAUUCAGGGCUUUAAAAUUUGAGCUCAUUGAGGACAUUAUGGGGUGUAUUUAGGAUUUAUAUACAUUUAGAUUUUUCACAUUUUAAAGUCACUCAGUGAUGAUUUAUCAUUUAAUUUUUCAAACUAAUUUGAACUGAUUCAAACUGAUUCAAACCUUUCUAAUACUUAAAAAAUUAAACUUAUGCCACUUCCCACCUUCCUGCCUCUUAAGGCAAUUUCCUUCUUCAUUCAAACUUUGUGCAAUUUUAGACAUUUUUCUAGCCUCUUUCAGCAUGAAUAAAAUUUCUUUUUAUAGAGCAUAUUCAUACUAUUUGUCCUUCAACCAAUUAAUCAAUUAUCCAACUUACAUUUCUUUCACACCCCUUCAACAGCUUUAACAUUUAUACAUUUCUCCAUGUUUUAUUAGCAGUUUAGCAUUGCUUUUUCAGCUUUCAGCACUCAGCAUUUCCACGCAUUUUCUGCAAGGAAAUGCAAUUUUUCUAGUAUUAUACUUAACACUCUCCCCAUACGUUUCUUUGGACCGCUUCUCCUCCUUCAAACUUUGUCCGAUUUCAACCGUUCAAACUUUAAACGAUUCCACUCCUUUAGGACAUGAUGGCUAUUACUUUUCUCUUUUCUACCCUUUAUACUUUUUAUUAUUUUUCACUUUUUGUGCCAAACUUUUUUUCCCAUAGAAAUGAAUGGGGAAAUCUUUCAAUUCUUCCUGUUAUUCGUCCACCUUCUAAGCCUUAUAACUUCAGCAUACUUUCACCUAGAGACCUCAUUUUUGCUUUAAAAUGUUCAUUGUCUUGUCGACUAUUGAUAUUGUAUUAACCUUUUUGUGCUUUCUUUUACAGUUUUUCCACAAUUUAGCUUGAAGCAACUUGUGGUUUUCAGCAAAUUUCAGGCUUUAUAAUAGGGGUGUAUUGGAGAGUUUAGAGUGAUGAUUUGAAAAGCUAGAGUGCAGACCUCGUCUCUGAUCGACAGAACCUCGCUCGAAUAUAUCGCUCCCACGCCCACAACACUCACUCCACAGCCAUAAAUAAUACAUCAAAAUGGAGGUAUAUGUGUCCUGCUUCUCACAAAAGAGGUUUCAAAUCAUUAAAUCGUACCCCUUGGCCAGCAGGUGACCAACUGUCCAAGGAAGGCGGAAAUCUCUCCCAUUGACCGUAAUGUUAUUUUUCUCCAAGAAAAUCCGGAUCAUCGCUCAGGCUCAGACUUUUUUAACUCGCUGUUGUGGCCUCAUUUUUCGAAGUACAUACAUGAAAAACACAUCAUUGUGUUCAUGAAGGACGGACGAUUCGUACGAUGUUCUUAUUUUCAUUCUGGGACUUAAGGAAAUCACGCUAUGUGAAGAAGUUCACAGGCUGAAAUUCACAGCAGUUCAGCACCUCUCAGUCAAACAGUAGGUUAGUGAUUUGCCUUUGAUCUCACAGCUGUUUAGGAUGCAGUCAUUAACGAGACACACACACACACACGCACACACAUUCUUGUACUUGUUGCUUUUUGAGGUCCACCUUGCAGUUCAGCUGCUUGUACACACAGUUAAUAUGUGUCUGCUUCACCACCUAUCUCCACCCACAAACUUUGAGCUACAGAAACCAUUCUGGGCUUCAAAAAUUCAGCUCAUUGAAGAUAUUAUGGGGUGUUUUCAGGAUUGUGAUAAUAAAUUGUAUUAAUGUGUUCAGCAGAGUCUUGUGUUCUCACAAGCUCCUUAUGAAUAUAUACAGAGGGUGAGCGUCAGGGCCUACUUGGAGUCCUGUUUCUUUAGCUUCAAGCCUUCUUUCUCCUGCUAUAGUUAUGCAUCCAAGGUCCCCAUGGCAACCAAUUUGUGCACCUGGAGACACACAGCUGACUGGAAAGCUGCUUCUAGUGGCCAUAUGAGACACAUGAAGCCAGGCUCAGUACACAUAGCAAUUGGGAUGACACUUAAAACCCUUUCCUAGAGCGUUGGAAAAAACUUCAGCCCCUAUCUCCUCACAUGACCUUUGACCUACAGAAACCAUUCAGGGCUUUGAAAUUUAAGCUCAUUGAGGACAUUAUUGGGUGUAUUUAGAAUUGUUAUUCAUUUAAAUUUUUCACAUUUUAAAGUCACUCAGUGAUGAUUUAUCAUUUAAUUUUUCAAACUAAUUUAAACUCAUUCAAACUGAUUCAAACCUUUCUAAUACUUCAAAACUUUCUGAUACUUGAGGACUUUUGAUAAUUUAAAAUUUCCCUGUUUUAAAUUAGUUUUAAUAUUUAUGCAUUACUCCAUCAUUCAAACAAAAUCCUACCUCAAGUACGACAACUACUGCUAAUGUCAAUUAAACUAGAACUUUCCCCUCUACUUCAACUGCUAUUGCUCCUAUUUCUACUUUCUUUACUACUUUGACUUAUACUUCUUUUAUUCUCAAUCUACUUCUACUGCUGACAUGACUACUAGUAUCACGACUUGACUUCUUAUCAUACUACUUCUAGUACUACAAUUUAAACUUAUGCCACUUCUCACCUUCCUGCCUUUUAAGGCAAUUUCCUUCUUCAUUCAAACUUUGUGCAAUUUUCGACAUUUUUCUAGCCUCUUUCAGCAUGAAUAAAAUUUCCUUUUAUAGAGCAUAUUCAUACUAUUUGUCCUUCAACCAAUUAAGUAGUUAUCCAACUUAUUUUUCUUUUUCAUUCCUUCAACAGCUUUAACAUUUAUACCUUUCUCCAUGUUUUAUUAGCAGUUUAGCAUUGCUUUUUCAGCUUUCAGCACUCAGCAUUUCCACGCAUUUUCUGCAAGGAAAUGCAAUUUUUCUAGUUAUUAUUAUUAUUAUUAUUAUUAUUAUUCUUCCGCCGUUUUUCGUCCGCUUUCAACUCCUUCCCAGUUUGUGCGAUUUCAACCGUUCAAACUUUAAACUAUUCCACUCCUUCAGGACACGUUUGCUAUUACUUUUCACUUUUCUAACAUUUAUACUUUUUGUUUUUUUUUACUUUUUGUGCAAAAAUUUUAACAUUGAAGUCAAUGGGGAAAUCUUCCAAUUCUUCCUUUUAUUCUUCCACCUUCUAGACCUUAUAACUUCAGCAUACUUUCACCUAGAGACCUCAUUUUUGCUUUAAAAUGUUCAUAUACUUGUCGACUAUUAUAGUUGUACUCAGUUUUUUGAUAUCUCUUACAGUUUUUCCACAAUUUAGCUUUAAGCAACUUGUGGUUUUCAGCAAAUUUCAAGCUUUAUAAUGGGUGUGUAUUGGAGAGUUUAGAGUGAUGAUGUCAUCAGCUAGAGUGCAGACCUCGUCUCUGAUCGACAGAACCUCGCUCGAAUAUAUCGCUCCCACGCCCACAAAUCUCACUCCACUGACACAAAUAAUACAUCAAAAUGGAGGUAUAUGUGUCCUGCUUCUCACAAAAGAGGUUUCAAAUCAUUAAAUCCUACCCCUUGGCCAGCAGGUGACCAACUGUCCAAAAAAGGCGGAAAUCUCUCCCAUUGACCAUAAUGUUAUUUUUCUCCAAGAAAAUCCGGAUCAUCGCUCAGGCUCAGACUUUUUUAACUCGCUGUUGUGGCCUCAUUUUUCGAAGUACAGACAUGAAAAAGACAUCAUUGUGUUCAUGAAGGGCGGAGGAUUCGUACAAUGUUCUUAUUUUCAUUCUGUGACUUAAGGAAAACACGCUAUGUGAAGAAGUUUAGAGCCUCUAAAUCCUCUGCAGUUCAGCUGCUUCUCAUUCAAACAGUAGGUCAGUGAUUUGCCUUUGAUCUCACAGCUGUUUAGGAUGCAGUCAUUAACGAGACACACACACACACACACAUUCUUGUACUUGUUGCUUUAUGAGGUCUACCUUGCAGUUCAGCUGCUUGUACACACAGUUAAUAUGUGUCUGCUUCGCCACCUAUCUCCA
rnacentral:lncRNA from 1 species